rnacentral:rRNA from 1 species
UACGGAGGGUGCGAGCGUUGUCCGGAAUCAUUGGGCGUAAAGGGCGCGUAGGUGGCCCGGUCAGUUCGUGGUGAAAGCGCGGGGCUCAACCCUGCGUCGGCCAUGAAUACUGCCGCGGCUGGAGCACUGUAGAGGCAGGCGGAAUUCCGGGUGUAGCGGUGGAAUGCGUAGAGAUCCGGAAGAACACCGGUGGCGAAGGCGGCUCUCUGGGACGGUACUGGACGGCUGAGACGCGAA